GAUGAACGCUAGCUACAGGCUUAACACAUGCAAGUCGAGGGGCAGCAUGGUCUUAGCUUGCUAAGGCCGAUGGCGACCGGCGCACGGGUGAGUAACACGUAUUCAACCUGCCGUCUACUCUUGGACAGCCUUCUUAAAGGAAGAUUAAUACAAGAUGGCAUCAUGUGUCCGCAGGUUCACAUGAUUAAAGGUAUUCCGGUAGACGAUGGGGGUGCGUUCCAUUAGAUAGUAGGCGGGGUAACGGCACACCUAGUCUUAUAUGGAUAGGGGUUCUGAGAGGAAGUGCCCCCACAUUGGAACUGAGACUCGGUCCAAACUCCUACGGGAGGCAGCAGUGAUGAAGAUUAGUAAAUGGACGAGAGCCGGAACCAGCCAAGUAGCGUGAAGGAUGACUGCCCUAUGGGUUGUAAACUUCUUUUAUAAAGGAAUAAAGUCGGGUUUGGAUACCCGUUUGCAUGGACUUUAUGAAUAAGAAUCGGCUAACUCCGUGCCAGCCGCCGCCGUAAUAC
rnacentral:rRNA from 1 species